AUUUGAAAUUCACCUGUCGUCUUUCAUCCAGCGAAUUCAUCCUCGCACAACACUGAGAUGAAGGCGAAGUCACCAUGAAAAGUUAAACGUUUACCGUUAAGGUAAGCUCUGCUACAGUAAUUGAUGUUGAAAAACUGAUGCAACCAAUCACUCCUCACUUGAUUAUUCAAGGUAAUGUCAAUGUCUUCCUCAUUUUGAUUAGAUUUUUAAAUGUCAAGUUGUUCACAGAUUUGUUGUGAGGAGUUUCAUGUACAACCUCUUUUUCUUCUUCCAGCAGUUCCUAAGAAAACUUUAAGAAAAAAAAAACAUCUGGUGUUAAAACAGCCACGGCUAUGCUAUUUGCCUACCAAGUGCUGAGUAAAUAUUAGACAAACAUUUUUUUCUAUAACUGUUUUCUUUGUGUUUAUUAGCAAUUUUACUGGGCAUAUGUGUUUGUUUUUUUUUCAAACAGCCUGGAAACUGUAAGUUUAGUUCAAUAUGUUAUUUUAUGCUAUUCAUUUUUGUCUUAACAUGGAAUGCAUGUUGAAGCUAUCGUUUUAUAGUGGGAAAAUGUAAAAGAGAAUCACUAAAUACAAUGGCAUAAUGAUUCUGCUUGUUCAAAGAAGCCCAGAUUGUGAUGGACCUGGAAUGCGAAACCAGUUACUCUUAAGACAAGAACCGAAUAAAGCACAGAUGUGGAGGGAUUUGCAGCCAAACUAACUGGAGGGAAGGAACCUUUAGUGUGGGUGAACAUACUACCUGGAUGUCCAACAAAGGCUGCACAAGAGCUCAUUUGAUAGCACACAUUCUGUCCUGUCUACAUCUCUGAUGACCUGGAAGUGCUUC
ensembl:processed_transcript